GACGAACGCUGGCGGCGUGCUUAACACAUGCAAGUCGAGCGGUAAGGCCCUUUCGGGGUACGACGAGCGGCGAACGGGUGGAGUAACACGUGGGUGGACCUGCCCUCCAGCUCUGGGAGUAAGCCGUGGGAAACCGGGUCGUAAUACCGGAUAUGACUCCAUGACGCAUGUUGGUGGGUGGAAAGCCUUGUGCGCUGAGGAUGGGCCCGCGGCCUAUCAGCUUGUUGGUGGGGU
rnacentral:rRNA from 1 species